rnacentral:rRNA from 1 species
UUGGAGGGCAAGUCUGGUGCCCGCGGCCGCGGUAAUUCCAGCUCCAAUAGCGUAUAUUAAAGUUGUUGCAGUUAAAAAGCUCGUAGUUGAAUUUCGGGAUUGACGUGAUGGUCAUGCCUUAAGGGGUAUGAACUGUUACAGUUGAUUUCUCACCUUCUGGAGAAACUUGAUGUCCUUUAUUGGGUGUCUUGCGGAUCCAGGACCUUUACCUUGAAAAAAUUAGAGUGUUUAAAGCAGGCAUUUUUGCUCGAAUACAUUAGCAUGGAAUAAUAGAAUAGGACGGCAUGGUUCUAUUUUGUUGGUUUCUAGGAUCACCGUAAUGAUUAAUAGGGAUAGUUGGGGGCAUUAGUAUUCAAUUGUCAGAGGUGAAAUUCUUGGAUUUAUUGAAGACUAACUACUGCGAAAGCAUUUGCCAAGGAUGUUUUCAUUAAUCAAGAACGAAAGUUAGGGGAUCGAAGACGAUCAGAUACCGUCGUAGUCUUAACCAUAAACUAUGCCGACUAGGGAUCGGAUGAUGUUAAUUUUUUAAUGACUCAUUCGGCGCCUUACGGGAAACCAAAGUGUUUGGGUUC